GAAUUUAGACUAAAUUCUCUAAAUUCUCUCUGACUCCUCAAAGAUUUGCAAAACUGGAAAAUCCGAUUACGGUCUUAUGAUUAGUUGAUUCCGCCUGAAAUGGUUUCUCACUCCUCGUCGAGGUACGUCUCUGUAUAUGUUAAUUAGGGUUUUGUAAGAGUUACUUCUUUACAUACCUGGAAGCUUACUCUGCAUGAAACCAUCGUCACCAAGGUAAUUUCUCUGUCUAUGAAAUAAAAAAGCAAGUUUGUUUUUGUUUUUAAAAUUUCUGUCUUUGUGAGGAUGGAAUUCAAAAUGAUCAUUGGCUAGCAGCACUAGUCUAAUAGUGUUAUGUCAGAUUUUUAUUUGGGUAACAUUGUCCCAUAAGGAAUCUUUUGGUUGGUAGUGCAUGUCUAAAAAAAGUAUG